CCUACGGGAGGCAGCAGUGAGGAAUUUUCCGCAAUGGGCGAAAGCCUGACGGAGCAAUGCCGCGUGGAGGAUGGAAGCCUAUGGGUUGUAAACUCCUUUUCUCAGAGAAGAAAUUUUGACGGUAUCUGAGGAAUAAGCAUCGGCUAACUCCGUGCCAGCAGCCGCGGUAAUACGGGGGAUGCAAGUGUUAUCCGGAAUAAUUGGGCGUAAAGCGUCUGUAGGUGGUUGACCAAGUCUGUUGUUAAAAACUCAGGGCUUAACCCUGAUCCGGCAACAGAAACUAGUAAACUUGAGUACGGUAGGGGCAGAGGGAAUUCUCGGUGUAGUGGUGAAAUACGUAGAUAUCGAGAAGAACACCAAUAGCGAAAGCACUCUGCUGGGCCGAAACUGACAUUGAGAGACGAAAGCUAGGGGAGCAAAAGGGAUUAGAUACCCCUGUAGUCCUAGCCGUAAACGAUGGAUACUAAGUGCUGUGCGACUACAAACGUACCGACGUGCUGUAGUACGUAACGUACGUGAAGUAGUACCGUCCGUCGGGUAGGUAGUGUCGUCGCGAGAGUAGAACGUACGAAACGGAAAGUUAGACGGCGUGAGACGUGCCGACGGACGACCGACGAGGGAGGUAGG
rnacentral:rRNA from 1 species